UACGUAGGGUGCAAGCGUUGUCCGGAAUUAUUGGGCGUAAAGAGCUCGUAGGCGGUCUGUUGCGUCGGCUGUGAAAACCCGGGGCUCAACCCCGGGCCUGCAGCCGAUACGGGCAGACUAGAGUUCGGCAGGGGAGACUGGAAUUCCGGGUGUAGCGGUGGAAUGCGUAGAGAUCCGGAAGAACACCGGUGGCGAAGGCGGCCUGCUGGGCAGUAGCUGACGCUGAAGCGCGACAGCGUGGGGAGCAAACAGG
rnacentral:rRNA from 1 species